rnacentral:lncRNA from 1 species
CUGAGUGUCGAGACAUCUGAGGGAACUUUGCCCGAGGUCGCAGCCCCCCCCGGGAGGAGACCCUCCUAGGGACCCCUUCCGCAGGGACCUGGGGCGCCUCCCACUCCCUGCUGUGCCUGCGGGCACUCUCCCCAUGACUCACUAGAGAAGAGACCUGGGAGGAACCUGGGGACGUGGGUGUGUGACCGUGGGCCGCCAGGGUCCCCUUUCAGGCUGUUUCCCUGCAGGUGAACCAAGAGCCACAGCCAAGGCAGGCGAGCAAGCGUGAUGAGCCUGCCGCCCCUCUCCAGCCAGUGGAGGUUCCCCUGCCGCUCUCGCGCCAGGACGGUUGCUCUCACUGUCUGUGAGGCCCACGCCGAAGCCCUUCGGGCAGCCCUGGGCUCCCGAGAAGAGCCUUGCUGAGCUCCUGGGAAGAGGCGUGCCCUCCCCGUCCCCCAUUGCCCCCUUGGCUGUGCACGCGUGUGCACACGGGUUCGUGCACAUGAACACAAAAGUGUCCUCGUGGACAAUGUGUGGUACUGUGUAUGCACACAGCGCACGUGUGUGCCUGGACACCAGGUCCCGGAGGGAAUGUGGGCAGCAAGGUCGGGGUGGUUCCAAGGCCUUCAGAAGGAACCUUGAGGCAGCACCCACUGAAGCCAACCCCAGAAACACUCCCUCUGUGAACAGUAGCAGGGACUUCGCAGGGCUUAAGCCGAAUUUCCAGCUCAGUGUCAACCUGUGGAUUUGUGGUGAGUUUCCCUGCCCUCCCACCCUUCCUCUCUACCCUCUGAAGCCUGGCUCCAGCAUCACCUGCUCAGGCCGUCCCUGGCUCCGCUGCAGCCCCUGCCCGGACGGGAGAAGGCAUGUGCACCUCCUGCUCUGCUCCCAGCACAGCUUCUGCUCCAGCAAAGCCCACGGGCACUCAGGCCUGGUUCCUACACCCGUCACCCCUCGGAGCACCCGCCCUCACUGUCACCCAGGCCUCCUUUGUGCCUUGGACACAGAACCCCAGUUUUGUUCAAGGCAUCAAUGUACCCAGCCUCGCCAGCUGCUGGGGCCAGCUGUGACACAGUUUGCCCAGGGGAUGACUGCAGGAGGCACAAGGGAGCCUCCCGGCCCUUCGGAAGGGGCAGGUGUGGCCGCCCUCACUGAUGGCCUUCCUUUCUCCUUGCUCCAGCCUGGAGUGUGGUCACGGUGUCCCAAGAACAGCAGCCAUGUGGCCAGCGAGGGCCAGGGUCCCAGCAGCUGCCUUGGUGCCCCAAGGGCCAUGCUCAGACUCAUCAGCAUCGGGAGAACAAGCCCUUGCUCCCUUUACGGGGCUGCCUCCUUAGAUUUCGUUAGGUUUUCUGUAACUCAAGCCCAUGUCACUUCUAUUGGAGCUGAUUUGGGCUCCUAAGCUCACAGGGGGUGGGACGUCCUUCUAUUAGCUUCGUCCUGCCCGCCCCCCCUCCCCACAGCAGCAAUGGCUCCUUGCGGGCAGGCCCGAGGAAUGGCCUGGAAGAGCUUGCGAGGAGCGAGGGCACAGGAGACACCCUCCCAGGGGCAUCUUUCCCACAUGUCCCCAGGCAGCCCAGGCUUCCAACUACAUCUUAAAACAUGAAAAAUGGGGAGGAGAAGAAACUUUGGUCCUAACACCUAGCCAAGCCCUGUCUUGCUGUGUGAUCUUCAGCCUGAGGCACACCUUCUCUGGGCUUGAUCACCAAAGCCGCAAAUGCAGGGCAGAGCACUCAUGAGGUCUGCCCAAGAGCGAGGUUGGUAAAUGGCUGGCAGAACCACGGGCGUGGGACGUGUGGGAGGGUGGUGAGCCAUUCCCUCAUCACCCACGCCAGGGUAGUGUCAUGGGGGGACACGUGGGUGUCUCUGGGAAGGGCCUGGCACAGCCCCAGCACAUGGCAGGGGUCUAACCAUUCAAGACUCAUUCUGUGUCGUCGGACAUCCCGUCUCUUAGAAACCAGCUCCAGCCUGACGCGCAGAACAGCCUCCUGAGGUGUUGAGCGGUGAGCAAGAGUGACAAAAAGCAAAACGAAAUAAAAGAAUAGAGAAUCCAUGGGCGAGCAUGUACGGUGCUAUUCCUGCUAACGCAUCGUCCAAGGAAGGACAGUUGCCACGUUUCCUGGGAACGCUCCCCACCCGACCCCCGCCGGCAUCCCUGAGCCCGAGAUCAGCAGGUGGGGACCAGGGGAUGGGAAGAGUCUCCGCACUGCAAGGCCAUGGUCCACCCAGGUCCCACAGCCACCGCUGGGCCUGCUGCUGGGCACAGCUGCCCUCCUUCCCUGCCAAAGUCCAUCCCAUCUACAAAGCCUGUCUCCUCACUCACUCAUCCAGCAAACCUUUACUUCCAUGCCAAGCAGCGUGCUAGGUUCCAGGGAUACCAUCCAGUUCGAUUGGGUUGCUAACGACAGAACAAACCCAAAUCUCAUAUGGUUGCUUUUAAUGUUGUAUUUUCAUGUCCAGGUAGGCAGUAGGACUGAGAAGGUGGCCUCACAAUCAUCAGGACCCCAGGCCCCCUUAGUCUGGUUGCCCCAUCAAUCCCCAAAUAGGCCUUCUGCCUCAUGGUGCAAGACAGCUGCUGAAGCUCCAGCCAUCAUGUCUGCUUUCAUCCAGAAGGGAGGAAACAUUGGCAUACUCUUCCCAACCUCCUAACCCAAGUUUUUAUGGUCGCUGCUGGAUUCUGCACACACCACCUCUGCUUAUAGCCCCCGUGGCCACAGCUGGGCCCCUUGGGUGCUUGGAGCUGCAGGAGAGGCUCGGUCAUUUCUCCACCCCAGGGACUGUGUUUUCAGCUAAGAGCUGGACUCCUGCGCGGAGUAAGGAGGGAAGGAUGGUGUUACCCGGCAGUCUUGGCAUCAGGACACAGCCCUGUGCACCACCUGGCGACAGGCAGGGGUCAGCAGCCUGCACACCACACACGUGUGCUCCGGGAACCUGUGCCGAGGUUGUGCAGGAGUGAUUGGGGCGUGGAGGACCCCGGAGGAAAGGGGGGUCAGGGAAGGCCCCUCAGUGAGAAGACCAAAAUGGGUGAGACUUAAGGGGUAGCAUUUCUAGGGGUGAGCUGUGAGUACCAUGGCAAGAGAGGAGACAGCAACGUCCGCGUCCCACCGUCCUCUGUGGACACAUACUGACCCCUCCAGCUGCUCGGAGUUGUGGGGGCCGGACAGCCCAUCUCCUGCCUCCUCAUUUCACAGGGAGGAACCCAGCAGAGGAGGGGCAGGCACAGGGUCCGAGACCAGCCCCCAGCCACUCUGAGCCCAGCCCGUGUCCCCUAACCCCAGGCCCAGUCUCUGCCUCCUCAUCCUGGCACCUCCCCUCUCCACACACUCAGCCUGUAUCGGCCACGAAGUCACAGCCCUGUGGAGUCACUGGUGAACCCAGGGGACUUUAUUUUGUUCGGCUUUUUUUUUUUUUUUUUUGAGACAGGGUCUUGCUGUGUCGCCCAGCUGGAGUGUAGUGGUGCAAUCACAGCUCACUGCAGCCUUGACCUCCCAGGCUCAAGCGAUCCCCCCACCUCAGCCUCCCUGGGAGCUGGGACUGCAGGUGCAUGCUCAUGUUUUUGGAUUUUGUAUUUUUUGUAUUUGACACAGGGUUUCACCAUGUUGCCCAGGUUGGUCUCAAACUCCUGAACUCAAGUGAUUCACCUGCCUCGACCUCCCAAAGUGCUGGGACUACAAGCGUAAGCCACCGUGCUCAGCCUCUCUGUGACGGAACUCUGAAAACAGUGUCAUUCGCCAUUUCUUGUACAGUCAACAGCACGCAGUUUGGUUCUGAAUGUGUGAUUCUCGUGUGUCCACUGUUUGGAGUUAGACCGGGUACCUGAAUGAGACCAGGAUGCUUUAGGGACAGCGAGCGUCGUGGAUGUGUACCCUG